rnacentral:tmRNA from 1 species
GGGGGUGCACCGGUUUCGACUGGCGCGGUUCGGGAUACAGAUUGCAGGUGGAGCGCUCAUCUCCUGAUUGGGCAAAACUUUAACUGCCAACAACGACAGUUACGAUUACGCCUUAGCUGCGUAACCGCGUGGAACCAUUCCGCCGCCCUGAGGGAUGACUUCUGCGACGCAAUCAGGGCUGGCCAGACCGCCGCUUUCGGAGACGGCCCGGCGAGAUUUCCCGGAAUAAGGACAGGCCGCGCGCCGAUUAGCCAAGCCUGUCCCGACAAUUCAAUAAACGGCUAAACCUGUAGACGUUUGUGUUCUGCGCGUUAGGACGCGGGUCCGACUCCCGCCACCUCCA